CAUAAUCAUUAGUCUUUUAAUUGAAGGCUGGUAUGAAUGGUUGGAUGAAAUAUUAACUGUUUCAUUUAAAAUUUUUUUAGAAUUUUAUUUUUUAGUUAAAAAGCUAAAAUAUUAUUAAAAGACGAGAAGACCCUAUAAAUCUUUAUAUUUUAUUUUUAUUAAUUAUUUAGAUGUUUUUAAUUAUUAAAUAUUAAAAUAUUUUAUUGGGGUGAUAUUAAAAUUUAAUAAACUUUUAAUAAAUAAUAACAUAAAUUUAUGAUUUUUUGAUCCAUUAUUAAUGAUUAAAAAUUUAAGUUACUUUAGGGAUAACAGCGUAAUUUUUUUGGAGAGUUCAUAUCGAUAAAAAAGA
rnacentral:rRNA from 1 species